UGCUCCAAGAGCGGUCUCUGACGUUCAUCGCUGGGCCAUAGAGAGCAGUGAAUACGGCAGUCACGGUGACCAGCGCGAAGAGGCCGAUUCGGAACACUCGAGAGGAUGUGCUAUCGAAGAUGCGCUCCACCGAUAUUUCACGUGUGGCUCAAAUUUCUUGUGGAAGAUGGUGAUUUGGAAAAGACACUUUGCAAAACACCAGGAUGUUUACAACCUGGCUGGAAACGAAACGAGCCCGACAACACCUUCUAUGAGGAUGUUGGCCAGGAAAGCGAAUGAAGACGACGAAGUCUGCGAGGCAAUCAAAGAACUCAAAGAAUGCACGAACGAAAUCGUAUCCCACAGCGAGUGCAAGAAAGUGGAUGGGCUCUCCACAAAAAUGGUCUCCAUGCAGGAAAUGCUGGUAGGGGAGUCGGCAAAGUGGGCCUGCAAGUUCUUGCCCAGGAAGAAGCACGUCAUCUAUCCGUCGUACA